rnacentral:rRNA from 1 species
GUGUGAGAAGGGCAUUCGGUGGAUGCCUUGGCGACAAGAGGCGAUGAAGGACGUGAUACGCUGCGAUAAGCCAUGGGGAGCUGCGAAUAAGCUUUGAUCCGUGGAUUUCCGAAUGGGGAAACCCACUCCGUAUGGAGUACCCGCAAGGGAGCAAACCCGGGGAACUGAAACAUCUAAGUACCCGGAGGAAAGGAAAUCAAUAUGAUACUCCCCUAGUAGCGGCGAGCGAACGGGGACCAGCCGAGCCUUGAGUGUGAUCAGAAAGACCUGGGAAGGUCUGCCAUAGUGGGUGAUAGCCCCGUAUGAGAAGCACGAUUGGACGUAUUAAGUAGGGCGGGACACGUGAAAUCCUGUCUGAAGAUCGGAGGACCACCUUCGAAGGCUAAGUACUCCUUACUGACCGAUAGCGAACCAGUACCGUGAGGGAAAGGUGAAAAGCACCCCGACGAGGGGAGUGAAACAGUUCCUGAAACCGGAUGCCUACAAACAGUUGGAGGGCGCAAGCCUGACAGCGUACCUUUUGUAUAAUGGGUCAGCGACUUAAUUUAACGAGCAAGCUUAAGCCGGUAGGUGUAGGCGUAGCGAAAGCGAGUCUGAAUAGGGCGCCCUAGUUCGUUGGAUUAGACCCGAAACCGAGUGAUCUAGCCAUGGCCAGGUUGAAGGUGCGGUAACACGCACUGGAGGACCGAACCCACGCCUGUUGAAAAAGUCGGGGAUGAGCUGUGGCUAGGGGUGAAAGGCCAAUCAAACUCCGUGAUAGCUGGUUCUCCCCGAAAUGCAUUUAGGUGCAGCGUUGCGUGGUUCUUGUUGGAGGUAGAGCACUGGAUGGUCUAGGGGGCUUAU